GACGAACGCUGGCGGCGUGCUUAACACAUGCAAGUCGAACGGAAAGGCCCUGCUUUUGUGGGGUGCUCGAGUGGCGAACGGGUGAGUAACACGUGCGUAACCUGCCCUUGACUUUGGGAUAACUUCAGGAAACUGGGGCUAAUACCGGAUAGGAGCUCCUGCUGCAUGGUGGGGGUUGGAAAGUUUCGGCGGUUGGGGAUGGGCUCGCGGCUUAUCAGCUUGUUGGUGGGGUAGUGGCUUACCAAGGCUUUGACGGGUAGCCGGCCUGAGAGGGUGACCGGCCACAUUGGGACUGAGAUACGGCCCAGACUCCUACGGGAGGCAGCAGUGGGGAAUAUUGCACAAUGGGCGGAAGCCUGAUGCAGCGACGCCGCGUGCGGGAUGACGGCCUUCGGGUUGUAAACUGCUUUCGCCUGUGACGAAGCGUGAGUGACGGUAAUGGGUAAAGAAGCACCGGCUAACUACGUG
rnacentral:rRNA from 1 species